UACGGAGGGUGCAAGCGUUAGUCGGAAUUACUGGGCGUAAAGGGUGCGUAGGCGGGUUUUUAAGUCAGAUGUGAAAAACCAAAGCUCAACUUUGGCAGUGCAUCUGAAACUGGAGUUCUAGAGGGAUAGCGGAGAAAACGGAAUUCCACGUGUAGCGGUGAAAUGCGUAGAUAUGUGGAAGAACACCUGUGGCGAAAGCGGUUUUCUAGCUUUAACCUGACGCUGAGGCACGAAAGCAAGGGGAGCAAACAGG
rnacentral:rRNA from 1 species